UUGAAUUGUCAAAGGGGUUGUUGCUGGCCUCUCAGCUGACAGGCAUGUGCACACCCCUUUUUCACAUCCAUUCACACUGUGCACCCUUUGUAGUCCGGAGUGAGGGCCUCUAAGGCUUUUACAACCUGGCACUACGUUUCUUUACAACACUUCUGUAUAGAAUGUCAACUCAGCGUAUAUAAACGCAGAAAUGUAAAA
rnacentral:misc_RNA from 1 species